CCUACGGGUGGCUGCAGUCGAGAAUCUUCGGCAAUGAGCGCAAGCUUGACCGAGCGAUGCCGCGUGCGGGAUGAAGGCCUUCGGGUUGUAAACCGCUGUCGUAGGGGAAUAACUGCCCAGGGGUACUCCCCUGGGUUUGAAUGAUCCUAGGAGGAAGGACGGGCUAAGUUCGUGCCAGCAGCCGCGGUAAGACGAACCGUCCAAACGUUAUUCGGAAUCACUGGGCUUACAGAGUUCGUAGGCGGUCUGGAAAGUUGGGUGUGAAAUCCCUCGGCUCAACCGAGGAACUGCGCUCGAAACUACCAGACUCGAGGGAGAUAGAGGAAAGCGGAACUGAUGGUGGAGCGGUGAAAUGCGUUGAUAUCAUCAGGAACACCGGUGGCGAAGGCGGCUUUCUGGGUCUUACCUGACGCUGAGGAACGAAAGCUAGGGGAGCGAAC
rnacentral:rRNA from 1 species